rnacentral:rRNA from 1 species
UAAUACGGAGGGUGCAAGCGUUGUCCGGAUUUAUUGGGUUUAAAGGGUGCGUAGGCGGCUGAUUAAGUUAGUGGUGAAAUCCUGCAGCUCAACUGUAGAACUGCCAUUGAUACUGAUCAGCUUGAGUAUAGUUGAGGUAAGCGGAAUUUAUGGUGUAGCGGUGAAAUGCAUAGAUACCAUAAAGAACUCCAAUUGCGAAGGCAGCUUACUAAACUGUUACUGACGCUGAGGCACGAAAGCGUGGGGAGCGAACAGGAUUAGAUACCCUGGUAGUCCACGCCGUAAACGAUGAUCACUCGAUGCGUGCGAUAUACGGUACGCGUCCAAGCGAAAGCAUUAAGUGAUCCACCUGGGAAGUACGAUCGCAAGGUUG